UCUGAGAACCUCUUAUUGGGGGCAGUGAGAAGGAAGAGAUGCAGACCCUCUCCAGAGAAAAGCCCUACGCAGAGAUGUUCCUUUCAACCAGGCCUAAAGACAAAGACAUCACCAGGAAGAGGUCUGGUAUAAGACAGGUUCUGAAGGUUGGGAUUGACACUGCGAAUUGCACGCAUGUAUGCCUUGAGCAGCUGAAUGUCUCGCUUCUGUUGAAAGGAAGAAGAACAAGGGAUAAUGGUUAAGACAGACAAUAGAUGAAAGACAAAAUGAAGGAAAUCGAGAGGUCUGAGGAACAACCAGACUGGAAGCUUCAUAAAGACAGGGAUACGAGGGUAUCAAUCCCAGCUGUACCCUCAGUUCUUAGCAAAGUGCCUUCAAGGGAAGGCAUUUGAUAAAUGGUAAAUAAAUGAAUGCCACUGAUGGGAUAAUGAGGAA